AUAAAGCGAGCGAGCGUUCGUGUCCGAAAGUGCUGGAUUCAGCCUGCCCCGGAGGCUGGCGGCGAGGGGUCGCAUAUCGCAAUUAACGGAUCUCCCGAGGGUUCCCGGAGCUUCUCCGGAUCUCGAGGGUUGACCGGCGUCUUCCCUCGUGCGCUCCGAAGGGGGAUGCUCUUCUGGCGUAAGUAGGUCACCGCGGCCGUUCAAGAGGUGUCGAAGACACGGGGGUCAGGGAAACCGCAUAUUCUCGGUCCGACGGAGCGUCAGCUUCCCGGUAUCGCGUUGUGCGGGGCCGCCUCGUUGAUCUGACGGCCUCUAGGACGGUGACAUCAAUCCAAAUGCGAGCCUGCGACGGGGUGGCGCCCUCUCCCUCCUCUCCUACGGAGAAGAGGCGAUGGCGCCCCCGCAUAAACGUUCCGCGCUCGACACGCGGUGCAGAGAAAUGCGACAGCUUACUCGUCCCGUCUUGAAACACGGACCAAGAAGUCUAGACUGUGCGCGAGUCAAAGGGCAUACUAAACCCCAAGGCGAAACGAAAGUGAAAUAUCUUUUCUCGAUGGGCUGAUCCGGUUCGGGGCGCGUGGAGGAGAGGGUUUAUCCCCUUUUCAACAACGCCUCGGUUCGUCUCCGAGCUAUACGAGGACGGCGCAAGCCCGGGGCCCGCAACGGUCCUCCCCGUCGCUAAUGCCAAGUCGCGUCGGUUCCUGGCGUUGUCCUACCUAAGUCCCUUACGCCUCUUAUAUCUUCAUUCACGCCGUUCGUUUCGGCGGGCGGUGUCGUUUGGAGGUAUCUAGACGGGGGCGUUCGUGGUUUUCUUAGGUGGCAAUAACAACGCUUUGGACGGCGAUUCGCAGACGCGGGACGAUCAGCGGGUCCUUUGAGCGCACAGUCUGGUACCCGAAAGAUGGUGAUCUAUGCCUGGCCAGGAUG
rnacentral:rRNA from 1 species